UACGUAGGGCGCAAGCGUUAUCCGGAAUUAUUGGGCGUAAAGAGCUCGUAGGCGGUUUGUCGCGUCUGCCGUGAAAGUCCGGGGCUCAACUCCGGAUCUGCGGUGGGUACGGGCAGACUAGAGUGUGGUAGGGGAGACUGGAAUUCCUGGUGUAGCGGUGAAAUGCGCAGAUAUCAGGAGGAACACCGAUGGCGAAGGCAGGUCUCUGGGCCGAUACUGACGCUGAGGAGCGAAAGCGUGGGGAGCGAACAGG
rnacentral:rRNA from 1 species